rnacentral:rRNA from 1 species
UACGGGGGGGGCAAGCGUUGUUCGGAAUUACUGGGCGUAAAGGGCUCGUAGGCGGCCAACUAAGUCAGACGUGAAAUCCCUAGGCUCAACCUAGGAACUGCGUCUGAUACUGGAUGGCUUGAAUCCGGGAGAGGGAUGCAGAAUUCCAGGUGUAGCGGUGAAAUGCGUAGAUAUCUGGAGGAACACCGGUGGCGAAGGCGGCAUCCUGGACCGGUAUUGACGCUGAGGCGCGAAAGCCAGGGGAGCAAACAGG